UGAGGAAUUUUACGCAAUGGGCGAAAGCCUGACGCAGCGACGCCGCGUGGAGGAAGACGGCCUUCGGGUUGUAAACCGCUUUCAGCAGGGACGAAGCGCAAGUGACGGUACCUGCAGAAGAAGCACCGGCUAACUACGUGCCAGCAGCCGCGGUGAUACGUAGGGUGCGAGCGUUGUCCGGAUUUAUUGGGCGUAAAGAGCUUGUAGGCGGUUAGUCGCGUCGUAAGUGCAAACUCAGGGCUUAACCCUGAGCCUGCUUUCGAUACGGGCUGACUAGAGGAAGGUAGGGGAGAAUGGAAUUCCCGGUGGAGCGGUGGAAUGCGCAGAUAUCGGGAGGAACACCAGUGGCGAAGGCGGUUCUCUGGACCUUUCCUGACGCUGAGAAGCGAAAGCGUGGAGAGCAAACG
rnacentral:rRNA from 1 species